CUGCUGCCGCCGUUCGUAUUCCUGGCGGGUGAAGUCGCCCCUCCGGGGGGGGUCCUCCUCGGGGCGGGGGGGUCGGAUGGGACCGCCCUGUGCUCACUGCCGUCCCUCCCGCGCCGUUCGCUCUCCCAUUGGCGCCGCUGUCGGACCUCCGCACUGCGCCGCUGCUGCCGCUCCAACAGCGCCGCUCUGCGCUGCGCCAUCAGCGCCUCCUCCUUGUCCUCGUCCUUAAAGAAGAAGCCGACUCCCGCUCUGUGCUGCUGCCCCCCGGCCCCCCCCUCCUCGGUGGGUGACCCCUCCAGCGAAUCCCCUUCGGGUUCCCCGUCGCCCCCCCCCGCGCCCCCCCC
rnacentral:lncRNA from 1 species